UAGAGAGUUGUUCCUAACAUAAUUCCCGUAAAUUAUUCAUACGUUACAUAAAAAAGAAAUUCAUACGUUACGAAUAAAAGAAAAUCCCCAUUAACAUCUCCCAAAUUUCAGAUGUUCGACUACAUAAACCUCAAAAGAGGUUAUCUCCCAAAGUUUCGCAAGUGCUUCUUCACCGUACUCUUCAAGAUUAAUCCGUCAAAACUCCAUUUUGACAAUCAAUCCUUGGAGAUGCUCAAUUACACAAACCUCAAAUACCAAACGCUCUCAUUUUCUUUCUUCACCAUGCUCUCAGUUUCUAGAUUUUUGGUCAUUGAGAAAAGAGCUACCAUCAUCCAUCUCAGUGGUAUUGUGUUCGGGAUUUUCAGUGCAAAUUGUAGUCACUUCGUUUGAGCAAGAAGAAGGAUCGGAACCAUAUAGAUAUCUGUCUAAAUGAUGCCAUAUCUGUACCAAUUCGAGCAACAUGCAAAAGUUUAGGCAUUCAAUGUUAGCGAGAGAUAUCAAGGAGCCAAAGGUUAGUCUGCUCAUAGGUGAAAACCGGUUAAUCGGCAUCAACGAAUCGUUGAGAGU